rnacentral:rRNA from 1 species
UGAACGCUGGCGGCGUGCCUAAUACAUGCAAGUCGAGCGAACAGACGAGGAGCUUGCUCCUCUGACGUUAGCGGCAGACGGGUGAGUAACACGUGGAUAACCUACCUAUAAGACUGGGAUAACUUCGGGAAACCGGAGCUAAUACCGGAUAAUAUAUUGAACCGCAUGGUUCAAUAGUGAAAGACGGUUUUGCUGUCACUUAUAGAUGGAUCCGCGCCGCAUUAGCUAGUUGGUAAGGUAACGGCUUACCAAGGCGACGAUGCGUAGCCGACCUGAGAGGGUGAUCGGCCACACUGGAACUGAGACACGGUCCAGACUCCUACGGGAGGCAGCAGUAGGGAAUCUUCCGCAAUGGGCGAAAGCCUGACGGAGCAACGCCGCGUGAGUGAUGAAGGUCUUCGGAUCGUAAAACUCUGUUAUUAGGGAAGAACAAAUGUGUAAGUAACUAUGCACGUCUUGACGGUACCUAAUCAGAAAGCCACGGCUAACUACGUG